rnacentral:rRNA from 1 species
AUACGGGGGGUGCAAGCGUUAAUCGGAAUUACUGGGCGUAAAGCGCGCGUAGGCGGUUUGCUCAGUCGGAUGUGAAAGCCCAGGGCUCAACCUUGGAACUGCAUACGAUACUGGCAAACUAGAGUGUGAGAGAGGAUAGUGGAAUUUCCGGUGUAGCGGUGAAAUGCAUAGAUAUCAGAAGGAACAUCAGUGGCGAAGGCGACUGUCUGGCUCAACACUGACGCUGAGGUGCGAAAGCGUGGGUAGCAAACAGGAUUAGAAACCCUAGUAGUCC